UACGUAGGGGGCAAGCGUUAUCCGGAUUUACUGGGUGUAAAGGGAGUGUAGGCGGUACGGCAAGUCAGAAGUGAAAGCCUGGGGCUCAACCCCGGAAUUGCUUUUGAAACUGUCGAACUAGAGUGUCGGAGGGGUAAGCGGAAUUCCUAGUGUAGCAGUGAAAUGCGUAGAUAUUAGGAGGAACACCAGUGGCGAAGGCGGCUUACUGGACGACUACUGACGCUGAGGCUCGAAAGCGUGGGGAGCAAAC
rnacentral:rRNA from 1 species